UACGAAGGGGGCUAGCGUUGCUCGGAAUCACUGGGCGUAAAGGGUGCGUAGGCGGGUCUUUAAGUCAGGGGUGAAAUCCUGGAGCUCAACUCCAGAACUGCCUUUGAUACUGAGGAUCUUGAGUUCGGGAGAGGUGAGUGGAACUGCGAGUGUAGAGGUGAAAUUCGUAGAUAUUCGCAAGAACACCAGUGGCGAAGGCGGCUCACUGGCCCGAUACUGACACUGAGAGACGAAAGCUAGGGGAGCGAAUGGG
rnacentral:rRNA from 1 species